AAACCCUACGGUUUUCAGGUCCGCCGCAACUCCUGAUCCGUAGGGCGGCUGGCCCGGUAUCGGACAAGAGUGGCCUCUUCGACAAACCGGACCGGGUCAGCCAACCC
rnacentral:sRNA from 1 species